GAUAGACACAGUAACUGACGACAAAAGUGGAGACAACCACAAGGGAGCUGUGUUUUAUAGAGUCGGGUCGUCUGGGCAGAGAUA
rnacentral:ncRNA from 2 species